GAAUCAGUCGUGUUUGGCCCUCUUGUUGGCUCUUCUCCUCCCUCUUCUCUUCCGCCAUAGCCGAAGCUUCCAAGGACCACCAGCCUCGUCGACGAUCCGGGCUUCAGCCAUGUCGACAUCUUCUUCACAAGCUCUCACUCUCUGGACUUCUCCACCAUGGGUUUGUGACCAAAGACCUAGUCAUCGUCUUUUCCCUUCCCUUCUAGUCGAAUCGAAUUUUUCCGAGAACUCUUUUCCGUAGUUCAGUUUUGGCCAUCAAUUUCAUGGACAUUGCCAUAGCAAUUGCCAACUAUCAAAGAGGAAGGUAACAUGUAAUUAAUGCUUCUUCUCUUUUUUCUUUUCCCUUUUUUUAGUGUAUAAUGGAAAAACAAUUAUUGUGGUUGUUUGUAUAGGUAGUGAGCUUUUUCCCCUGUUUCUUCUAUUUUCUUUUUCAUUUUUUUUUAAAAUAUAAAUAUGUUCCUAUUCUUAACAAACAUCAUGUUUCCACGAGUCUUAUGGAUGUAAACCCAGAAACUUUAAAGUUGUUACUGUCUU